rnacentral:rRNA from 1 species
UACAGAGGUCCCAAGCGUUAUUCGGAAUUAUUGGGCGUAAAGGGCGCGUAGGCGGCUAGAUGUGUCAAAGGUGAAAUCCCUCGGCUCAACUGAGGAACUGCCUUUGAAACUGUCUGGCUUGAGGCCGGGAGAGGGUAGCGGAAUUCCCAGUGUAGCGGUGAAAUGCGCAGAUAUCAGGAGGAACACCGGUGGCGAAGGCGGGUCUCUGGGCCGAUACUGACGCUGAGGAGCGAAAGCGUGGGGAGCGAACAGG